GCAAAGAAUGGGACAGACCAUGAUGAAGUGAAGGGUGACAAUGUAAUUUUGGCUAUACAAAAUAUAAUAUAAGAAGUGUAAUUUCAACUGGGGUGCGGAGUUCUUUGUAAAUCCAUAUAGAAAGUAAGUAGCUCAGUAAGUUGUAUCAUACAGAAGUAGUUCAUUAUUCAGGAAAGGCAACCCACCCAGCUACAAUGACUCAGCGUUUAUUCGCCUUGAAGUGAUUUAUGAACACAUUAGUGUAAUGGAUUUAUUUACACCUUGA
rnacentral:misc_RNA from 1 species